GUCCAAAGUGAUUCCACCUGCUGUGUCCUCAGUAUAUUUGAAAAAAAUCGAUAUAAAUUGCUUUGCUGGUGUGGAAAUCGCACUGCAGUGGCAAGCUUCUGCACCCUUCCCAAGCCCUCCUCUCAAUGCCAUUCUGUCCCUUGCUUCACAAGCUGUCCAUAGCCAGGGAGGAGCAAUCCAGUGCCGCAAGAUUGAUGGUCGCUGUGUCGCCUUUUCUGAAGAGGAGCGGAAGUGGAGUUUUGGUGAACAAUCCCUUCAAUACUGACUUUACAUAAAAACAAACUCAUUGGGUGUUAUUUAUUAUAACUGCCAAAAGCCUGAGAAUAAUUUUAACUAUAACAUCCGAAUUUUGGAUAUUUCGGGAUUUAUUAUACCCCGAGGAAGUAAAAAGUCAGAAUCCAAAAAUCUGGCGGACCU